rnacentral:lncRNA from 1 species
AGUAAAGGAUAUAACAAGUUGAUGAACAAAAAUGUAAGCUAGGAAAUGUUAUAUUGCUUUGAUAUUCGUGAAUGUAAGGUGACUACAAAUGAUGGGGACUCCUCAUUAUAUAGUAGAGGAAUCCUAAUUAUGAUAUAACUCUAAUUACAGAAGUAAAUCCCAUGAUUAGCCCAAACGACCACCCUUGAUUUGAUCUGUUCCAGGAGCCUAGAUCUUCGACCGGUUACAGAUAUCUCUCCUUUCCGUUAUUGUGCUUCAUUCAAAGUCGGUCAUAUAUGGUUUCAAUCGUUAUUGGCCUCGAUCUCGACGAGUACCUCGAUUCUCGAGCUUGAUACUUUAUCUUCGUGCUCUAACCUGAUCUCGAUUAAAUGGCAAAAUCGGGCAAGCCCUAUUCUAACCGUAUACAGAUAGUUCCCUCGUUUCUUAGAGUGUAAUGAGAAGAAACGAACUGAGCCUUCGAUUUUAUACUUCGACCAGUUAUGAUGUCACCCUUGUGACGUAACCGAUAGAAGCGACUAAAGCGUCGCGUCGGUACAGUUCCCAAGAUCAUUAAUAAGCGUCAGUUGAUGGUCGGCUACUAGUGCCUUUGAAACAUCACCGUGAAUCCUUGAAUAGGUCUUCUUCUCACUUCUUUAAACUUUACUUUGAAUUUAUCUUGCACUAAUCUUUAAAAUCUUUCUAAGUUUUACAAGUCUUUAUGCGAUUCUUCAAAGUUCUUCACAUCUAAUUAAGCCCAUCCAUUCUUGCACAGUUUCUAGGCCUUGUUACUAACCUUUAAGAUUAUUUGACAUCAAAUGGGACAGGGUACCGCCCUACCCAUAAGUCUGUAGUAAAACUCUAACACAAUGACUCAUAGACUCGGCUGCACUCCAAAUGAGGUGGAGUUUUACCGAUCCUUCGCUGAAUGUCAAUCUCAUCUACUAUGAGGGCUCGUCAAUCUGAUUAUCUAUACCUGCAGGCAUGAAUAGAGCGUCCCCAACAAAAAGAUGUCAGUACGAAUAAUGUACUGAGUAUGUAAGGCAGAACUGAAACAUAACAAUAAACCAACAUUGAUUAAAGCCAUAUUAUGAAUCAACAUGAAUCUCUAAAGUGCCAUCGUAUAUGCAUACUUACCAUACUCAUAUAUAUAUAUAUAUAUAUAUAUAUAUAUAUACACUGCUUCUUCAUUGACACUUAUUAUCCAUAUCGUAUGAUGCAUGACUGCCCAACUGAUCAGUGGUAAUUGCCCGACCGGCCUUCACACGGUGGUAAAUGUAUGACUGCCCAACCGGUGGUCACUGCCCGACCGGCCAUAGCCCGGUGGUAAAUGCAUGUCUGCCCAACCGGCCGUAGCCCGGUGGUAAAUGCAUGUCUACCCAACCGGCCGUAUCACGAUGGUAAUGAAGAUGCAUGACUGCCCAACCGGCCGUAGCACAGUGGUAAAUGAAUAUGUAUGACUGCCCAACCGGCUGUAGCACAGUGGUAAAUAUGUAACUACCCACUGUUCGCAACCAUUUAAUGAUAAUCAAUAUUUUCUAUCUCCAUUUUUUUCUUCAUGCAUGACACAAGAUAUGUGCCCUUAAUUUAAUCAAGGUUAAAAAUCAGCUAAGGCUUUCCUUAUAGCUAAACUGCUCCAGAACAAAAGGUUUCAGUGGUUCCUUAAAGGAAUAAAUAUUGUUGCCUGAAGAAGGAAUAGCAUCUGUGAUGCUAAAGGCAAUCUGGACACUUAACUCUUAAAAUUAAAGCAUGCUGAUAAGGAAGAAAAAACGCACAAGCAACAGUUUGUAUGCGAGUUUUUUUUUUCGACUGAAACGGUAAUCUACCAAGACAAGAUUAAGCUUUUACUGACACAAGUAAUAUUUCAAUAUACAACUGCAAGUAUGUAUUGUAUAGAGAAACAUGUUUUGCAAAAGGAAAAAUAAAUUACUAUAUUAUAAAUAUUAACAUCUUUAUCAAAUACCUCAAUAAGAAACUAGAUACAUACUUAGACAUUCUCGAAUAUCACUUCACGGGAAUGAAUAACAUAGACAUCCUUAACUGCUAAGAGUAGAAUGACUUAUGAAAUAAUGUUACUUUUACGUAUCGUUACUUGGAUAAUGCCAAAAUAAGAAGGAUUAGCCUUAACAUACCUGAGUCGAUUCUCUUGAGAAAGAUUGCACCGAACACCCUUAAAAAUACAAAAUUUCAUGUUGCUUUUAAUUGUUGAAGAUCUUUGUUGCUUAUGAGACGUUAAUGAGUAAGUGAUGAGUGAUCAAAGAGAACUACAAAUACCAGAUCCAACUUGAACGACCAAAAUUCUUAAUUUUAGAAAAUAUCUAUUGGAUAAAGUGGAGAAAUUAGAAAUGGUAUAAAAAGAAAGAAAAAAGGUUUCCAUGUAGGUACAAUGAACUAAGAAUGUAU